AAUAAAGUAUAGGCUAGAAAUGAAUAAACUGAAGUUUCUAAAUAUUUUCUUUCUGUACCACAGUGCACCCUACUUAGGAGUUGGCUGGACCAGAACAGGGAAGGCAGAGGAAUAGUUUCAGCAGCACAAAUGCUGCGGGAGCCCAGGUGGAGGCCCUUAAUCUCACCUGAAGAGGUCAAGGCUGGCGUCGCAGAGGAGGGAGCGCUCAUCCUGGAUUUUGAAGAAUGAACUGAAUUUUAUCAGGUCACCAGCUGCCAUAAAGAGAACGUAACACACCAACAAUGGAGAGAAGUCUGGAAUGGAUAGAGAUCUGAGAUUUUUCACCCAGUUGGAAAAUGGUACAGCAGGAGUGGCUGACAUGGCCCAGGGGUUGUAUGUAGAAUCACAAUGAUAGGAAAAGGGCAGUUCUGCUCUUGCCUUACCACGUGAUCCUGGAGAGUGUCACCUGUCCCUCAGGUUCUCGUUUAUGACAGAAGGUGGCGCCAGGUGUGAUAAUUCAAGCAUCCCUUUUAACACUCAUGUAAUCAUGUAAUGCUGCCAAUAAACACUGCCACAAGGAUCUGUUUUAC
rnacentral:sRNA from 1 species